rnacentral:rRNA from 1 species
CUGGCUCAGACGAACGCUGGUAGCGUGGAUUAGGCAUGCAAGUCGAACGGGAUCCGGAAGGCAGCAAUGUCGGACCGGUGAGAGUGGCGGAAGGGCGAGGAACACGUGGGCAACCUGUCCAGGAGGUGGGGAAAACCUCGGGAAACUGAGGCUAAUACCGAAUGUGGCGCCCGCUCGCAUGAGCGGAGCGCCAAAGGGGGCGAAAGCUCCCCCUCCACGAGGGGCCCGCGCACCAUCAGCUAGUCGGCGGGUAACGGCCCACCGAGGCUUACGGUUAGCUGGUCUGAGAGGAUGGCCAGCCGCACUGGGACUGAGAUACUGCCCAGACUCCUACGGGAGGCUGCAGUCGAGGAUCAUUCGCAAUGGGCGAAAGCCUGACGAUGCGACGCUGCGUGGAGGAAUGAAGGCCUUCGGGUUGUAAACUCCUGUCAUGAGGGAAAAGGAGACCUUACCUAAUACGUAGGGGAUUUGAUGGUACCUCAAGAGGAAGGGACGGCUAACUCUGUGCCAGCAGCAGC